GACGAACGCUGGCGGCGUGCUUAACACAUGCAAGUCGAACGCUGAAGACCUGGCUUUUGUUGGGUUGGAUGAGUGGCGAACGGGUGAGUAACACGUGAGUAACCUGCCCUCUUCUUUGGGAUAACGCCCGGAAACGGGUGCUAAUACUGGAUAUUCACUGAUCUUCGCAUGGGGGUUGGUGGAAAGGUUUGUUCUGGUGGGGGAUGGGCUCGCGGCCUAUCAGCUUGUUGGUGGGGUGAUGGCCUACCAAGGCUUUGACGGGUAGCCGGCCUGAGAGGGUGACCGGUCACAUUGGGACUGAGAUACGGCCCAGACUCCGACGGGAGGCAGCAGUGGGGAAUAUUGCACAAUGGGCGAAAGCCUGAUGCAGCGACGCCGCGUGAGGGAUGGAGGCCUUCGGGUUGUAAACCUCUUUCGCUCAUGGUCAAGCCGCAACUGUGGGUUGCGGUGAGGGUAGUGGGUAAAGAAGCGCCGGCUAACUACGUG
rnacentral:rRNA from 1 species